AGUGGACAGACUUCUUCCGGACGGAGUGCACUUGCGUCCGGAGGAGACGCGAGAGGUGGCUCCUCAGGGACAUGAUGGGCAGCGCAGGAAGUAGCAGACGCAAAGGUCUGCUGCGUGCGGAUCGCCGCCUGAGAAGUUGAUACUAUCACAGAUUACCUCAGGCUUUCCUGGAAACCUCAGCUCAUGAGCACCUACUGCGAGUCACCAGAUUGAUUUUCUAAAGUAUUACAUGAAUCCUUCACUGGUCCUCCACCACCUACAGUUUACUCACAGGAGGACCUAGAGAUUCUGCCUCAGCAAUUCACUGGCUGCCAACAUGUACUCUAUCCCUUGAUAGGUUGCUGGGAGUGUGUGCUGGGGGUGAUAGGUGGGGGGUGGUCAGUAGGUAAGACCUGAUGAUGGUGUUGAGAGAUCUCCCUGGUGUAAAUACUCCACAAGGGCUAUCAUUUCAAGCUACCAUUGUGAUGUCACUGAACAUGAAACUGGGAAAAUGUGCUCAUUAUAAAAUAUUUUCACCAUAUGUAUACAAUCACCAUAAAUAACCUCAAGAGGAUAAAAAAGUAAAAUAUAGUAAAAUAAUUAGGCAUAAAGUUUUGAGUAUAUCUUUGUUUUUAUGUUGAUUUACUUGUAAGUUUAUACAAUUUGACUUUUAAUGAUGGCAAUG